rnacentral:lncRNA from 10 species
CAUCCACAGAGGGUGCAGAGGGUGUGGAAAAUGUGAGCUGUACGUCAUUUACGUUUCUCUCUUUUCCUGAUUAAAUGAUCAUGUGGGGAAUUCCUUGAUUUUGACAUUUGAAAUCUACAGAGCCUGUCUGGGAGGCUUUUGGGAGAUUGAUGACUGAUGACAAAAACAGGGCAGCACUCGGUGACUUUCUGCUGGUUCUUGAGAAUCCAAAUGAAAGUCCUACCCUGAACCUGCUCUGCAAAGGGGACCCACAUGAGGUCGCUUGGAAAGGGUCCUGACCCACCCACCAUGUCAAGCAAUUAUUUUUCUGGACAGCUUCCUGAUGUCCCCAAGGAGAGAGAGAGCGUGACAGCCAGUGAGGGAAAGCAUGCCACAGGUCCCGCCUGCUAACCUGGCAGGAGGGUGCUUGCAACACCUAAUUUAUCAACGCUUGUUUUCCCUGCUGGAGCCAAGUACACAAAAUCACUCCGCCAACAGAGAAAGAGAAAGGGGAAGCCAUUCUUCACCUUUUUCAGUAAUGUAUUUUUGUUUUGGUCAAUUUCCCAGAUAAAUUAUGGUCUUGUCUCAUUGCUGCAUUGGUGGAAUUCUUGCUAGUGUUAUUUAGUACAUUUUAAAGCUGUGUGAAACCAAAAGGUACUUAAAAAAAAAAAAAAAAGGAAAGUUAACCAAAUUGAAGGGUAAAUUUUUUACAUUGUUCCACUGGCUCCAGUUGGAGCUUAAUCAUCACGACCCUUCCUUCAGUCCACAGCGCCUGCUUCAAGAUGCAGCAGAAGUCAAAAUUGCAAGAGUCUGGAUGUUUUGCUUUCGUGUAACUCAUUAGGCAUUUCCCCCUGUGCUAUGAUAAAUGUCUCUCUCAACCAGAAAUUUUAUCUCACCUGUGUAUGUCCCUAUUUCACUCUGCGGAAUCACUCUCAGGAAAUACAAGCUAAUGAUGUCUGUGGUUCUGAAAUUUCCUUGUUAUUAUUUGUUUAAGACAUUUUUUAAAAAAACCUGUGGACAGCUUAUUAAAAGGAUGCUGAGCAAUGAAAACAUUAUUAGACCAUAUUAUUGUUUAUUGUACCCAGAUGUCGUGCAUUUUACACAUCCCAAAGGAUUAGUAGUAAUGUUGGAUACCAAAAUCUUACUUUUCCUUGCAGAUAUUGAGACUAAAUUUUUCUCAUUAAAAACAAAACAUUUACACUGAACAAAUGGUGCGUGUCCGGGUGAAGCAUCAGGUCUCAAGAAGGCAACACUGCUCAAACGAGACUUAGGACAGAACUGGAGACCAAAACAAAGCUGAGGCUACUGUUGGAAAUACUGGUCUAAAAAAAGGAAGAGUGUGGUAUGCUUGUUUUUUAGUUUUAUAGAAUUUUCCAUUUGGAAAGGAGAGAAAUGCAUACAUCCAAGCUGAAAUAAACCAUUCUAGCAAACAUGCCGAGGAAUAAUUUUCAAGAAUGUUUUGUUUUUAAUGAAAAGGAAAGCAAAUCAAAGAAAACCUGGGUAAGUGUUAAAGAGUACUAAAUUUAUAGUAAGGUUCAGGCAAUCUGCCCACUGCAAUCAGAAAGGUUUGGGCUGUUAGUCAUUUAAGACACACAAUGGGAAAAUAAACAAAGAAGGAGGAAGGGGGAAUGGUAAACUGUAGUUUGGCAGCAAAAUUAGUCCAGCUAGUUCCAUUACAUAUUAAACCAUGUCACAAAGCAAAUAAUUGAAAUAAUGAGGAGCUCAUUUUUUAAAAGAUAUAUAGAGUAGCAUAACAGAAUCAACAAAAAUAAGACUGUUUUAUAUAACAAUUCAAUAGACAAUAAAUAAGCACUCCAUUUGGGGAAAAGAAUCACACAAUAAAUGAUGCUGGGAUGGCUUGUGAGUAAUUUGGAGAAAACUGAUCUAGAAUGAGAGCGAGUAUUCCACAUUCGCCACUCUCUUGUCUUUUGGCUUUCUAUCACCUUGGCCAAUGGAGGAAGACAGCAAAAAACAGGAAGGAGGAAGAGUAUGAAGGGAGUCAUUUCUCCCCGGCACUCCAUGCCAGGUUGCUCCAGAAGGCUGUGUCUCUGUCCUAAGGGCUACAGCUUGGCUUGGGCAGUCUUUCCAUACAACUCUCCAGGUUCGGGAAAUUGCUUACUCAUCUGCCCCUGCAAGUGCAGGGAUGACAAUCACUUCCAGCUGAGCUGAGCCCAGCAUGCUGCAUCAUUCUUUGUUGAUGUCCCUCAACUCCGCUGGCGCUAUCUUGAUUAUCCUUAGGCUUACCUCAGUUCCCCAGUCCUAGUGGGCCUUCUGGUUCCUCCUGGGGCACUGACUGAUCCAGGUGCCCUGGGGUUCAGUCGCUAAGUUUCAGCUUCCUAUGUGAUGGGGUUUGGUUCUGUCCUUGUCUAAAUCUCAUGUUGAAUUGUAAUCCCCAGUGCUGGAGGUGGGGCCUGGUGAGAGGUGACUGGAUCAUGGGGUGGAUUUCUCACGAAUAGUUUAGUGCCGUUCCGUUGGUGCUAUCCUCAUGAUAGUGAGUGAGUUCUUGCAAAAUCUGGUCAUUUAAAAGUGCUCCUGCUUUUGCCAUGUGAUGUGUGACAUGCGUACUCCCGCUUCACCUUCCACCACGAUUGUAAGUUUCCUGAGGCUUCCCCAGAAACUGAGCAGAUGCCAGUAUCAUGCUUCCUGUACAGCCUGAGGAUCCAUGAGCCAAUUAAACCUCUUUUCUCUAUAAAUUAUCCAGUCUCAGGUAUUUUUUAUAGCAAUGCAAGAACAGCCUAAUACUGUGCAAUUUCAGAAUCCCAAGUUUCUCUAUUUACCCAAGACCGGGGGGUGCUCCCGCGGCCUGAUUCAUGCUCACAGACAUGCAAAUGGAUGGGGGGUGUGAAUUAACAUAAUGCUCUAACUCAAGUCAUUCUCACCAGGCAAUUCUGCCCCCCAGGGGACAUUGGCAAUGGCUGGAGACAUUUUUGGUCACCACAACCUGUUGGGGAGGGUGAGGGGUGCUACUGGCUUCCGGUAGGUGGAGGCCAGGGAUGCUCGCAAGCAUCCCCAGUGCACAAGACAGCCCCCACGAUGACGUACGACCCUUCCCGAACGUCCACAGUUAGUGCUUCCCUUGUGACCUUGUGAAGCCCUGCUCAGAUUGUGAGGAGGAUGAUGCAUUCACAGAGGCCAGUCUGCAAAGCACACUCUUCUCUCAAAGUUGAUAAACCAAUCUGGAAAACAAAAUUUCUACCAUUGACCCACUGGUGAGCACCAACCAGAGGAUGAGGGGUUGGGGAGUGGCCUUAAGAGGAACAGUACUUGAGAGCUGUUGGGCUCUGAAUGCCCAGUUUCUCUAUCUCCACCCAGGGGAUGGACCUCUCAUGGGAACUGGGCAGCUCCUGCGGCAGCUCAGAAGAGCCUGCUGGUGUGCCUGGGUGGGGAGUGUGUGGGACACAGCCUCUGUGCAGGCUGCAGGGAGUCAGCCCAGGUUCCAGCACUCACUGUUCCCUGAGGUUAGUUUAUUUCAUCGCUGUUAGAUUCUGUUUCAUUAUUCAUCACAUGUGGGUACUAACAGUGGCAAAUUGUGUAGCGCUAUAAGGGAAUUCAAUGAGAUAAUGCAUGUGAGAGGCUUACGCUAACCUCCUGUGAAUGUGGUCCUACAAUGAGAGGCCUAGAGUCAAACCCCUUGUAGAAAACACUAGGUUAAAUAAAAUUAACCUGGAUUUGCUUGUUUUCCUUGUAGGGCCUCUCAGGGCAUUUAAAGCAUUAUUGAGCAUUUCAGCUCUCUAAGAAAGGGGAACAAUAUACAGAGGUCUGCAUACUCAGGCACCCUCAAUCCCUGUAUUACCUUACAGAAGUGACCUUCUCCAGCACACACCGCCGGAAACACUACUGAACCUCUGAGCACGCUGGCAAAUGACUCAGUUCCUGGUGUAUAUAUACAGGUGCCUGAGCUCAUUAAUUUUCUAUUGGUCACUGUGAGCUUCUCUUUCAGAGGGUGGCAUUUUCUAGUUGCUCCAAAUCAAGGUCCUCUCUUUUGGAGUCUAUAGCUGUGUUGGCCAAUUUUAUCCACCUGACUUUCCUGUUGUUUUUCUUUGCUCAGCUUUUAAUACUGGCCUGGAUUUUUAGACCUGCAUUGUUAUUAAAUAAAUGUAAUAUCUUUUGUUUUCCAACAUUUAAUCUUAUUAGCUUCAUUCAAAAAACAAAAGGUUAAAUUGGGC